UACGAAGGGGGCUAGCGUUGCUCGGAAUUACUGGGCGUAAAGCGCACGUAGGCGGCUUUCUAAGUCGGGGGUGAAAUCCUGGAGCUCAACUCCAGAACUGCCUUCGAUACUGGAAAGCUCGAGUCCGGGAGAGGUGAGUGGAACUGCGAGUGUAGAGGUGAAAUUCGUAGAUAUUCGCAAGAACACCAGUGGCGAAGGCGGCUCACUGGCCCGGU
rnacentral:rRNA from 1 species